AAGGCAGCNUCCUGGGAUAACACUGACGUUCAUGCCCGAAAGCGUGGGUAGCAAACAGGAUUAGAUACCCUGGUAGUNUACGCCCUAAACGAUGUCGAUUAGCUGUUGGGCAGCAUGACUGCUUAGUAGCGAAGCUAACGCGUGAAAUCGACCGCCUGGGGAGUACGGUCGCAAGAUUAAAACUCAAAGGAAUUGACGGGGACCCGCACAAGCGGUGGAUGAUGUGGAUNAAUUCGAUGCAACGCGAAGAACCUUACCUGGUCUUGACAUGUACGGAACCCUCCAGAGACGGAGGGGUGCCUUCGGGAGCCGUAACACAGGUGCUGCAUGGCUGUCGUCAGCUCGUGUCGUGAGAUGUUGGNNNNNNNNNNNNANNCGAGCGCAACCCUUGUCAUUAGUUGCCAUCAUUAAGUUGGGCACUCUAAUGAGACUGCCGGUGACAAGCCGGAGGAAGGUGGGGAUGACGUCAAGUCCUCAUGGCCCUUAUGACCAGGGCUUCACACGUCAUACAAUGGUCGGUACAGAGGGUAGCCAAGCCGCGAGGUGGAGCCAAUCUCACAAAACCGAUCGUAGUCCGGAUUGCACUCUGCAACUCGAGUGCAUGAAGUCGGAAUCGCUAGUAAUCGCAGGUCAGCAUACUGCGGUGAAUACGUUCCCGGG
rnacentral:rRNA from 1 species